GUACGGGAGGCAGCAGUAAGGAAUAUUGGUCAAUGGACGCAAGUCUGAACCAGCCAUGCCGCGUGAAGGAUGAAGGCCCUCUGGGUUGUAAACUUCUUUUAUCUGGGACGAAAAAAGGGCUUUCUAGCUCGUCUGACGGUACCAGAGGAAUAAGCACCGGCUAACUCCGUGCCAGCAGCCGCGGUAAUACGGAGGGUGCAAGCGUUAUCCGGAUUCACUGGGUUUAAAGGGAGCGUAGGUGGGUUUGUAAGUCAGUGGUGAAAUCUCCGAGCUUAACUCGGAAACUGCCAUUGAUACUAUAGAUCUUGAAUUAUCUGGAGGUAAGCGGAAUAUGUCAUGUAGCGGUGAAAUGCUUAGAUAUGACAUAGAACACCAAUUGCGAAGGCAGCUUGCUACGGAUAUAUUGACACUGAGGCUCGAAAGCGUGGGGAUCAAACAGGAUUAGAUACCCGUGUAGUCCC
rnacentral:rRNA from 1 species